rnacentral:rRNA from 1 species
AUGCCUCGUCAGCCUGGACGCGUGUCGAAGGAAGGAAGAGCGGCGACAGACAAGAUGGCUUCUGUUGCCAUCCCCAAUAAAGGAAGAAGGCACAUAGGCAGCACAUUAAAUGCGUUUGUCCUGCGGUGCCGAGUGAUAAGCUCAUACACUAUAGCUUGCCACCUCCUGUGUGCCAUUGUGGCAACCCCUUUAUGUAUAAAAGGAGGCCCAAAGCAUACAGAGAGAGGAUUCAGACUUUUGGACCGUGCAUGCAUCGUAGCUAUUUCAAAAGCUCAAGAACACAUAUAUCCAGACAAGCAGGACUAG